rnacentral:tRNA from 1 species
GGAAAGAUAAGCUAAACUAAGCUAGUGGGCUCAUACCCCAAUGAUAGGAUUUAACCUUCUCUCCA